UAUCCUUCUCAGCGUUCAGGCUAAGAUCAAGUUUAGUAUCUGUUCUUAUCAGUUUACUAUCUGAUACAUCCUCUAUCACUGAUACUCUUGUGUGAAUAAUGAACUCAAUUGUUUUUGAGGUGAUGAUUCCAAAUACCUAUAAACUUGGAAUCACCUAAAUUUUUGCUUUGCUUCUUUAGACCACAU
ensembl:snRNA U2 U2 spliceosomal RNA